AAGACCUUGCACUUUUGGAGCGGCCGAUGUCUGAUUAGCUAGUUGGUGGGGUAAUGGCCUACCAAAGCUUCGAUCAGUAGCUGGUCUGAGAGGACGGCCAGCCACACUGGGACUGAGACACGGCCCAGACUCCUACGGGAGGCAGCAGUGGGGAAUUUUGGACAAUGGGCGCAAGCCUGAUCCAGCCAUGCCGCGUGAGUGAAGAAGGCCUUCGGGUUGUAAAGCUCUUUCAGCCGGGAAGAAAAGGUUGCGACUAAUAAUCGCAAUUCAUGACGGUACCGAAAGAAGAAGCACCGGCUAACUACGUGCCAGCAGCCGCGGUAAUACGUAGGGUGCGAGCGUUAAUCGGAAUUACUGGGCGUAAAGGGUGCGCAGGCGGUUUUGUAAYUCAGAUGUGAAAUCCCCGGGCUUAACCUGGGAACU
rnacentral:rRNA from 1 species